CUUCUUGAUGCAUUUAAUUUCUUCUGCAAUGUUCUAGGAUCUAGAGUAUUACAAAGUGUGAGGUAUACAUAAUAAUAGGACUAACACUAUUUUCCAGUUGGAUCAGGUAAAAAUGGGUUACAAAAUACCAGGAAAAGCAAUAACAAAAAAUACAAAUGAUCUUAUCCAGUCACAUUAUCAGUUGCAAAUCCAAAAUUCUGAAACCCUUGAUACUCAGUCCCAGGAAAAGUUCAUGGUUGCUUUUUCAAAACAAGGACAUUCUGGCUCUUGGAGACUAAAAGUGGAGGAACCUCCCAUGCCAAACCUCUACUUGAUCUUUGUCAAUAGAAAGGUAAGUUGCAUCCUUGAUGCAUGCACAGAAGUGACCUGGGUACACUGCUCCCUUAGGACUUGUCACUGGGAGGUUUCUUCUUAGCUUCCACAUCUUUCUUAAAAUCUUCGAGCUUCUUUGCAAUGUUAGGAAUAUCGUAGUUCUGAGCCAGAUACAUCCCAACCACAUUGCCAAGAGUAAAACCAAGCACGAACUGCAGCAUGGCGUCCACCUGCCUGACUGCUUGCUUUUCAGCCGGGGAAGUCAGGCGGGCGGUGGUGGCUCCUCUUCCGGGUCCCGGCCCGCCCUCGCCGCCCUGACGGUGGGGCACGCCGAGCUCGGGAGGAGCCACCGCAGGGAGGGUGCGCCCACCGCCACCCCGAGCUCCGGCCCUGCCCUGAUUCUAGACCUCACCCGGCCUGCAGAGCGUAGCGCUGUGGAGGUCCCACAUCUCCUCGCCGCUUUUUGAUAUUAAAAAAAAUGGGGAAAGAGGGCUGCUGGAUACCUCCUUGCAAACAGGGAGGGGUCUGGUGGCAGCCAUCGAGCCUGGCAUUUCUAAGGUGGCUGCUGAGAAGUUAAAUAAGAAUCUGAGUAUUUACAGCAUGAACAGUUCUGAGCUGAAUCAUAGAAUCCUGAGUUGGAAGGGACCUCUGAGGGCCAUCUAGUCCAACUCCCCUGCAAUGAACAGGAACACCACAGCUAGAACAGUUGCCCAGUGCAUGUUCUAGCCUCGCUUUGAAAGUCUCCAGGGAUGGGACAUCAACCACAACACUACAUAACCUGUCGCAGUGCUUCAUCACCAUCAUAGUAAAAUAUUUUUUUCCUUAUAUCUAACCUAAAUCUGCCCUCCCUGAGCUUGAAGAUCUUAAGGAAACGUCAGGGGAAUCAGACACUCAGAUGUAGGUGAAAUCGUGAAUCGUUUGAGCAUCCUCUGAUUUGGUGCCUUGGGAAAUCUGGGCCCCCCGUGCCAGAGAACACUGAAGGGUUUUCAGCAGUGUGAGAAUAGCAAAGCAAAGAAAGGCAGCCAGGAGGAGAGAGGGCUGGGGUGCCAAACAGCAGUCCCCAGGGCCUAAAGGGGGUUAUAGAUAGAGCCAGGCCAUUCACAGCUGGGUGGAUGAGAGAGCAGGGACAAGUCGAAACAUGAGGUCUGAAUGAGAUUUAAGGACGGACUGUUGCCUCAUGAGGGCAAGGAGUAUCAGAGAUUGUGCCAACUCCAUUCUUGGAGGUUUUCGCAUAGUGGGUGGCAACACUGUUCACAGCAGGGGGCUUGGAAUUGGAUGAUCCUUAAGGUCCCAUCCAACCCAAACCAUUCUAUGGUUCAAGACCUGGCUGGGUAAAACCCUGAGGAACCCAGUUGGAGCUCAGAACAAACCUUGCCUUGAGCAGGAAAGCUUGAGAAGGAGGCUGAGACCUUCCUUAGGCCUCCUCCCAUGUGAAUCAUCCAAUCACCUACGAACUUA
rnacentral:lncRNA from 1 species